CGCUUAAUCAUGAAGUUAACACCAACUAUGAGCGUAUGGGUAUUAGUUUGAAAACUAUUAAGCGA
rnacentral:tRNA from 1 species